GCACUAGUCGGGGAGUUAGCGAUGCCCUGUAACCUGCAAUGCGCUACAGCAGGGAUGAAUUCCCCCAUGAGGAUAUGUGCUGUGUUGUCUGACCUCGGUAAGCGGCGUUGACGACCCGGUCUCGCGCAACGUGAUCCCGUGAACCAUGUCAGGCGGGGAACCGAGCAGCAUUAAGCGGUGCAUUGCGUGUGCCGUGAGGCUGCCGGGUCUGAGUCGGCUGCCGUUGUAACGGGCAUAGUGCAUUAUUCGAGUCGGGGU
rnacentral:SRP_RNA from 1 species